rnacentral:rRNA from 1 species
AGUGAACGCUGGCGGUAGGCCUAACACAUGCAAGUCGAACGGCAGCACAGUAAGAGCUUGCUCUUACGGGUGGCGAGUGGCGGACGGGUGAGGAAUACAUCGGAAUCUACUUUUUCGUGGGGGAUAGCGUAGGGAAACUUACGCUAAUACCGCAUACGACCUACGGGUGAAAGCAGGGGAUCUUCGGACCUUGCGCGAUUGAAUGAGCCGAUGUCGGAUUAGCUGGUUGGCGGGGUAAAGGCCCACCAAGGCGACGAUCCGUAGCUGGUCUGAGAGGAUGAUCAGCCACACUGGAACUGAGACACGGUCCAGACUCCUACGGGAGGCAGCAGUGGGGAAUAUUGGACAAUGGGCGCAAGCCUGAUCCAGCCAUACCGCGUGGGUGAAGAAGGCCUUCGGGUUGUAAAGCCCUUUUGUUGGGGAAGAAAAGCAGCAGGUUAAUACCCCGCUGUUCUGACGGUACCCAAAGAAUAAGCACCGGCUAACUUCGUG